AGCUCAGCCACCUCUAAGCUAUGCUUUGUUCUUUGCUCCUAAGAUGAUAUUGUUUAUGUUCCUUCGCAGGCAGAAACCUGAGCUUACUGGUCAUUCUUCAUUGGACUUUGGCUUCAGUUCCAGAAGUUUUUUGGACAAUCAAGAUUAGCUAUGUUUGGUGGAUUUCAUUUCCAAGUAUUAACCUGGCAGCUUCCUGUUCUCCUCCGUCUCCUGAACCAAGGCAGAAUCGUAACCUGUCUACCCUCCUACCCUCCCACACAAGUACCUGAACAUUGGAUUAACUCCUGAACUCACCAGAACCCACUCUACAGCUCAAGUAAAACCAUCUGGCUUUCUCCGCUACGCUCACCUGGGCCCCGACUCCCUCUACCCCUGGCGACCUGACUACACUCACUUAUUGGCGAUUCUACCGUUCACAUUCCUGUGUCACUACUUGUAAAUAAAACACCUUUUACUGA